rnacentral:misc_RNA from 1 species
CAGAGUUAUUCCAAACUCCCAACCCUUUGUGAACCAUAUCGUCGUUGCCUCGGCGUGAGCGGCAGCUACCCUGGAGUAGUUACCCUGUAGUAGCUGGGAGCACCUACCCUGUAGGAGCUACCCUGUAGCUAGAGGGCAUCUACCCUGGAGCUGCAAACAACGCCCGCCGGAGGACCACUAAACUCUUGUUUUUACCAUGUAUUUCUGAAUGCUUCAACUAUAAAUAGUUA